AGCUCCAAUAGCGUAUAUUAAAGUUGUUGCAGUUAAAAAGCUCGUAGUUGGAUUUCUGGUCGGAGUGUCCGUUCCGGGCUUGAUUGUCCGUGUAACGUGUUGUCUCCAGCCAUCCUCGCGGAGAGCGUUUCUAUCAUUAACUUGGUGGGAAUGGGACCCGCGUCGUUUACUGUGAAAAAAUUAGAGUGUUUAAAGCAGGCAAUUAGCUUGAAUACAUUAGCAUGGAAUAAUAAGAUAGGACUUUGGUACUAUUU
rnacentral:rRNA from 1 species